rnacentral:rRNA from 1 species
GAUGAACGCUGGCGGCGUGCUUAACACAUGCAAGUCGAACGGAAAGGCCCAAGCUUGCUUGGGUACUCGAGUGGCGAACGGGUGAGUAACACGUGGGUGAUCUGCCCUGCACUUCGGGAUAAGCCUGGGAAACUGGGUCUAAUACCGGAUAGGACCACUUCGUGGAUGUUGUGGUGGAAAGUUUUUUCGGUGUGGGAUGAGCUCGCGGCCUAUCAGCUUGUUGGUGGGGUAAUGGCCUACCAAGGCGUCGACGGGUAGCCGGCCUGAGAGGGUGUACGGCCACAUUGGGACUGAGAUACGGCCCAGACUCCUACGGGAGGCAGCAGUGGGGAAUAUUGCACAAUGGGCGCAAGCCUGAUGCAGCGACGCCGCGUGGGGGAUGACGGCCUUCGGGUUGUAAACUCCUUUCGCUAGGGACGAAGCGUUUUUGUGACGGUACCUGGAGAAGAAGCACCGGCUAACUACGUGCCAGCAGCCGCGGUAAUACGUAGGGUGCGAGCGUUGUCCGGAAUUACUGGGCGUAAAGAGCUCGUAGGUGGUUUGUCGCGUCGUUUGUGUAAGCCCGCAGCUUAACUGCGGGACUGCAGGCGAUACGGGCAUAACUUGAGUGCUGUAGGGGAGACUGGAAUUCCUGGUGUAGCGGUGGAAUGCGCAGAUAUCAGGAGGAACACCGAUGGCGAAGGCAGGUCUCUGGGCAGUAACUGACGCUGGGGAGCGAAAGCAUGGGGAGCGAACAGGAUUAGAUACCCUGGUAGUCCAUGCCGUAAACGGUGGGCGCUAGGUGUGAGUCCCUUCCACGGGGUUCGUGCCAUACCUCACGCAUUACGCACCCCCUGUGGAGAACACCCCCGCGGUGCUAACUCUCAGGAGUUUUGAGGGGCCCCCACACACGCGGCAGAAUGUGUGUAUUUUCUCAACGCCGCGCAAAAACUCUUACCUGCUUGUGAUGUACACCCCAUCGCCAUAGAUAUCUGUUCUCCCUUUGGGGCCUCUUGACACAGGGGCUGAUGGGUUGCCUCCACUUCUGGCCUGAAAAUGUUGGUUAAAUCCCCGCACCAACCCCACCCUUGUCUUAUGUUUCCCACCCCUGAUGGGGGGGACCUCUGAAAGACCUGCCGGUUACACUCCGAAGAAAGGGGGGGAUGACGUCAAUUCUUCUGCCCCUUUUGUCCUGGCUUCACAACUUCUUACAUGGUCGGUAACACUCGCAUGCGAGCCUGUGACGCUGAGCUAAUCUCCAUAAACCGCCUGCCGUCGUUAUUGAUUGCUGUCUGCUACUGCGCUGCAUGAUGUAUCACUCGCUAUCACUCAUCAACAUGCCGCGCUGAAUACAAUCCCUUCCCUUGCCU